CAUUGUUCAAUGCCAUGGUAAGUUUCCUAGACAGAACUACGUUAAGUGUUUUUUAAUCCUAACUACUCUCCAGAUUUAGUGGCUGCAUUUGCAAUGAAACACAAGGUAUUUUCUGUGAUAUUCCCUUUCUCGCUUGGCAUAUGCCAACGAGUUCAUUGUUUUUUUUUCUGGAAUGGAUAUGUACAUGAGUUAUGCACAAGCAUCCAUUUGAAUUGUUUGUUAAGAUUAUUCCAACAAAGAUUCUUUAGUUGCAGGAUAAGGAUUAUGAAUACAUUUCCUUCAGUUUUCAUCCUCGUGGCUUAGGUAAUUAAAUACUGCUUAUAAUUCUUAGAACCUUCCUUAAUACAUAAUCAGAAUUCAGAUCAUCCUCCUCCAUUAUGGGUAAACUGGGAUCUGCCCACCCAUCUUAGAACUCUGGAAAUGAUACUGGUUUAUUUUUACAGAGUCAUGCUUGCUAUAUAUGAUAAUUGAAACUUAGGUAUGCUGUUUAUUCCCCACUCUCUGCUGAGGCAAUGACGCUCACAUUAGUGGCCUGAUAAUGUGUUUACCAAUUUUAAUUGUGGUGUUCUAUGUAGCCAUGACAUCUAGGUAUCCAUAUAUUUUACUUCAGUUUCGAGUUCGCUAUUGAAAGUUAUUUUGAAAUUUCAGUUCCAGGAGGUGUUGCAUCAUGAAUUAUAAUUAUAUGUGUCGUAAUGAGAAGUUAAUUGUUAUUGGUUAUCCGUGCCAAUUGGGCCACAGAUGAACAUGAAACUAAGAUUUGCAUUAUACUCAGUUUAUUAGCAACAACGCAUUUCUCUGUCAUCUUGGUUCCACUAAGAUGUAUUUAACUGUAUGAGUGGCGCAAUGCUAAUUUUUAGGUGUUUGGAUGAUGGUGGUAACAUAUUUUGUUUAUUGCAGGGUGCUUUAGAUUUUUGGAAUUCCGAUAUGCUGAAAUAAACAUGAUAUUUCUUUUUUGAGAAGAUAAUAUGUACAAUAUUUCGACGAGGCCCAUUAACCCAAGUGCUUGCUUAUUUGCUGCCCAUCUACACCAUGGAUGCAUAUAAGAGUAAUUGUGACGGUUUAGUGAAAUACAAUCCGUGGAUGAGACUCCUACAACCUGAAUAAAGGUAUUUUGGAUAAUUGUUUCGACCUCUACAAGUAUGUACUAUGUUCCUCACAUGGUAUAACUAUGAAGAAGUGCUUGAUGAAUCUGUACAUGACGGCACAUACGGGCUGCUUCCAGGUGGUCAUCACUGAUAACCAAUAUCGCAUUGGUGCUUUGGUUCGGAUUAGGAGUCUUCAUGAUGUUCUGCCAUUGUUUGCCUAGAUAGUUGGUGUGCCAUGAAAGUAGGCCUAUUUUAUUUUUUCCCGCUAUUGUCUUCUAACUGACAGAUAUGUUACGUUGGUAGACGAUACAUCCAAGGUAUGUUUCCUAAAUGAAGUCAAAAUUUGAAUUUAUCUCCUGAUCUUGAGAUAUGAAGCAAUUAUUUGUGUCAGGAAAAGAGAGGGUCUAAUUCAACUGUGAUGACUUUUGCAAUUUGAACAGUGUAUUACUAUUUCUCAUUGUAAGCCGAAUUAGUUUAUUACUA